rnacentral:rRNA from 1 species
UACGUAGGGGGCAAGCGUUGUCCGGAAUCAUUGGGCGUAAAGCGCGUGUAGGCGGUUCGGUAAGUCUGCUGUGAAAGUCCAGGGCUCAACCCUGGAAAGCCGGUGGAUACUGUCGGGCUAGAGUCCGGAAGAGGCGAGUGGAAUUCCUGGUGUAGCGGUGGAAUGCGCAGAUAUCAGGAGGAACACCAAUGGCGAAGGCAGCUCGCUGGGACGGUACUGACGCUAAGGCGCGAAAGCGUGGGGAGCGAACAGG